UAUAUGCAUAGAAGGACGCACUCGUUGCUUGGUCUAUGAACUUGUUGCCAAUGGCAGUGUUGAAUCUCACUUGCAUGGUAUGUUUCCUUGAGAACUUUGAUAUUUAUAUUGUGUAAUAUUUGGGUAAAUGCUGCUACCUUUUCAUCAAAAUUGACCAGAAGCCCCCUGUAUAUAUUAUAAUUUCCAUACUAAUAAGCUUAUUGUAAACUUAAAUCUUGUGUGAUGCCCGUUUAUUUGUGUUUCAGGUUUUGACAAGAGAAGUGGACCUCUUGACUGGGAUGCACGG
rnacentral:misc_RNA from 1 species